CCCCCCCGCGCCCGCAUACGGCCCCGGCCCUAGCACCCAACCGCUGAAGACCCUCGAGACAAGCACCCUCAUCCACCCUCUCGCUGCGCGCGACAACAGAUCAGUCAAGAACCAACCAUGGAGCCCCCCAAAGCCCCACCCGGAGUCACCAUCGUUCUUUCCCACCCACCUGCCAAACAUCCAGACCAUGUAUCAAGCUGGGAUAUUUCAGGGGCGAAUUGUCUUGGGGUGAGAUUUCUUUGGGGCGAGUUGUCUGAUUCCCAUUCCGAAUGGACUUUGAAAGAAACGAACGACAACUUUGUAAGAAAACCCGCCAAUGGGGCUCGCGACCAAUCGGAUGGAUGCUAUGCCUGCUGGGAUAGCCAUGCUCUUUUUCGACGCGGACAGUGGACCCGACAUGACCGACUUAACGGACUCGACGUGACGGACUCGACCUAAUCAAUUUUCUUUAUUCUUAGACUUAAGUCUAAGAAUUGUUUGGUGAAUACGGGCCUAGCAGAUUCUUUUGUGCACGAGAUGCGGUCAAAAAGAAGAAAAGACGAAAGAACCAAUCCAGACUUGGUGGCAGAGGAAAGUAUAAAAAAGAAUGCAGAUCUUGGUGGAUUUUGUGUGGAUACAAUUCCACCUAAAGGUAUUUCUUGUUGACAGAUAGCCUUGACCUUAAGUCAUUUAAAGAAGUUUAUUAAUUUCAAUUUCAGCUGGCACUAUAUGUAUUUGCCUGUAUAUGUUUAAAGAAAUAAAAAGGGCAAACAAACAAUUAAACCUGGGAUACAGCCUUAGCCUCUCAAAAGGGGAAAAAUACCAUGUGACCAGCACUUUUGGGGAGAAAUUGCAAUAAAUCGUCAUAAACUAAAGGUUAAUUACAUGUUAUAACCAUUAUUUGCUCCAUUUAAA